UUAAACACUUUCAUUUGGAAUGUAAGCUACAAAGUUUUUUGUUUUACUCUUUAUAUUUUGACAUUUCAAGUACACUUUUUCGGGUUUUCGGGUCUAAUCCGAACCCGAUCGGACCCGAAAAUUUUUUUGGUUCCUGUUCGGUUUUUUUUUGAAAUUCAAUAACCGACCCGAAUCCGAAAAGAACCGACCCGAACCGAACCAAAUUACACACUAUAACCGAACUGGUCCAAUUCCUCUAGACCCGAAAACCCUGAAACCCGAAAAAUCAGACCCGACCCGAACCAAGGACCCGAAGGCCCAGGACUACGGUAAACCCAUUGGGACAAACCCAGGUGUAAAGAAAAAGAGUAUUAAGCCAUCACCCGGACCGGAUUAGUUACAGCCGGCGUUCAUG
rnacentral:lncRNA from 1 species